rnacentral:rRNA from 2 species
GACAGAGGGUGCAAACGUUGCUCGGAAUUACUGGGCGUAAAGCGCGUGUAGGCGGACCAGCAAGUCGGACGUGAAAUCCCUGAGCUCAACUCAGGAACUGCAUCCGAAACUGCUGGUCUGGAGUGGUGGAGAGGGAAGCAGAAUUCCUGGUGUAGAGGUGAAAUUCGUAGAUAUCAGGAGGAACACCGGUGGCGAAGGCGGCUUCCUGGACACUUACUGACGCUGAGACGCGAAAGCGUGGGGAGCAAACAGG